CAGUAACUCUGGACAGGGGAGAACUGUAUGGAGCUACACACUGGAGGUGGGCAGGGCUGGAAUGACGUGUCCUGUGGAGAGCUGAGGUUCUAUGUGUGUUCUAUGGAGACAAGAUCUGGUUUAGCAUCAUUGCCAAGUCAGAAGAAAACACACGAGAGAGAGCUGGUUGAAGAGGUGAGUAUUUAUGACGUCCUGUGGAGACCAGUGAGAGAGUAGCAGAUGAGAUCCUCUACUCAGCCUUCCUCAGAGGAUGUAUUCCAGACGUCUGCCUGCCCACUGCUAUGCUGACUUCUGCCACCAGGAGGUGCUAUACCUGGACAGAGUCAUCCCCAUGCUGCGGGUGCUGAUCAGAACAGUCCAGGGUCCUCCAGACAUCAUGAUGUUUCUCCAGAGAACACAUCAACGCUACCAGGAGUCUCUGAAGGAGGCC